rnacentral:lncRNA from 1 species
GAACUGAAACCUCACGUUAAAACAAUAUCAGCCGUUCCCCUUCAUCAUCCUAAAAACAAGUUACUUCGGUGCUGAAACAAAUAUCAAGUGAAAAUUCUUCCCUCCCAAACUCAUCAAAACCUGCAUCUUAUGAUUUUUCAGAAUCUGAAACAAAGAUUGUCCGGUGUAUCUUCUACCAAAUCCCUAUCCUAACCCUUUCUUCUCAAACCCUUCAACUUGCAACUCAAAAUUAGGAUUUUAGGGUUUCAUGGAAUCAUCUCAAUCAAAGCUUUGAAGUAAGUCUCUCGACGACGGCAUUGAUUCCCCUAUGAGCUACAAGGGUCAUAUCACGUUGUGAACGAAAACUCUAAUAUAAAGGAUUUUUCACUUCAAGCUGUGUAUGAUUCGUCGUCGCCCCGGUAAGAGUUUCCUUUAACUUUCUUACAAUCUACCCCUAUGAGCUACAAGGGUCAUAUCACGUUGUGAACGAAAACUCUAAUAUAAAGGAUUUUUCACUUCAAGCUGUGUAUGAUUCGUCGUCGCCCCGGUAAGAGUUUCCUUUAACUUUCUUACAAUCUGUCCUUUAAAUUUCAUUCAGGAUUGUUAUUCACUUUUAAAAUGGGUUAUUUUAUUCUAGUUUAUGAAUUCACUAUUGAUUGUGAUCUUUAGAACUUUAUCUUCCCAUGUGAGUUUCAUGUUAGGAUUAGCAACACUGCCACAAUUUCUCCCCAAAAUGGGCACUUGAACGUAAAAGCGGUGUUACAGUUAGUGUAAUAUCCAUCAUCCUCAAAGAGACACAUUGAAAUAUUGAUUAUGAAUGCAUUAAUCACAUCCUUAUUUAAUCAUUUUAAUUUGUUAUUGUCAUGUUUCAUGACACGAAUCUGCAGGAUCCUCCAAGCCAAUUACUGCAGCAGAUGUCCAUCAGUUUUUCGAUGACAUAAAGAAUAAGUGUCGCGGUAUAAAGUGAGUUAAUGUUGUUUUGGUAGUUUAAAGGUGUGGUUGCUGUUGAGUUUAUUUGUGUAAUAUGAUGUUCAUAAAUGUAUUAUCAUACUUGUAUGAACUCUUUGACUCUGUUUGUGCUUCAGCUCUUAUAAAGCUAACCUAAUGACUUCUUAAUAUUGAAACUCAUACUAAGCCCAUCCCCUCACAGUAGUUUUUUUUUGUGAUAUUUGUCUCUUACGAACUUAAAGUGUUCUUUUGAUGAGAAACUAUCUUAAACCAUUUUUUUUAUAUAACAUACCAUAUCCUAACCAUUUUUUUCCAUGUAAAAAUAUAAACUAACAAGUGCAUAUGAACAUAGUUAUAAAAAAAAAUUGUAGCCUGAUCAAUCAAGGGCCAGCCUGUUACCGACAGAUUGCACUAUGCCACUGAGGCUGCCAUAGUGAAUGACAAACUAGGUGUAAAUAUCUUGACAAUAGACACUAAAAGUCUACAAACUAUACCAAUUCAAACUUCAAUCUGGGAGGGAUAUGCCACUAAAAACAUUUAGAUAAAUUAAUGAACAUAGUUAUAGAUAGUAGGUGAAUAAAAACAUUUAGAUAAAUUAAUGAAUAAUAGUUAUAGACAGUAGUUGAAUGGUUGAGAUCUUAACACCAAUGGGAUUUUCAUGUCAAGGAGUGUGUCAGAAAAAUUUAAUAAAGUUCAUCACAUGUACGAGACAUGAUAUUAAAUCCCAUGUCAUGAGCUUUGCCCAUGUCAAAUUCACAUAUCUUGUGAGAAUAAUUUUAUUUAUCUUUUAACCAAACACUAACUUACUCAUUUUCCCAGAAAAUUAUAGAAUUAGGCUAGUUCAGUCCCAGUACGAACAAUAUACCAUUGUUCAACCACUUGAGUAUUUAAAACAUUGUGAUUAGAACAAAAAAAUGAAGAUAGAUGCUUCAAAGCUAUCAUUGUUGUUCUUGCUGGUUCGUCAUAUGUAUGCCUUUAUAUGUUUUUCAGUUUGCGCAAUAUUGUAUGUACUGUACGCAGGGUGCUGUGUCAUGAUGCAGUUAUCAUUGCAACAAUCGUGUGCAUAUUGUGUUGUUAUUCUUGUUUGUCAUGUGAUGUGAUGUGAUGUAUGCAUGAUGUCUAUGUGGUUGCAAUGUGUGUGUGUAUGUUCGAGUGUGGCUCUGUGUGUGAUGUUGCAGUUGUUCACACUCUAACUCUUGUGUGUGAUAUGUGUGCGUGUGCUCUCUAUUACUAUUAUGUGUAUGCUUUCAUGUGGUUUGAAAUUGUGAUCCCUUAUACUGUAUAAUGCAGUUCACAACUCAAUAUUAAUUUAUUAAUUGCAAUAUGCUUUAAUCAUUUGGAAUCUAAAUGAUUUCUUGUAUAUGUCUCAUAAUUAAACUUCAAACAUUUGAGAUGAGAAUAGUUUUGAUACACUAGAUCAUUAUUGUAGCUCACAUCAAAUAUAUUAAUUGUUGUGGCAUAAAUUACAAAGGAAUUGUGGACAGUGGUACGUGGUACAAUUGGAAACCUGUUUCCAGUGUUUAAAAACUAUUUCAUUCAACGUUAAUGUUGAGGAAGACAAAAUGCUACUACAUCCUUGGAAAAUUAGUGUAUUUUUGUGUUUGAAAUUUAGUGUUUGUUUUUCUUUCCGUACAAGUGUAUUUUUGUGUCUUUAUCUAGAAUAUAAUGAUUAGAUCCUAAGAUAGGGAUGAGUUUUAAGUUUAUAAGUAAAGAUACAAACGCGCCAGGUAUCUCUUAUAGUUGCCUAAUUAAUUAAACUAGUUUAGUGAAGCAUCACUGUAAAAUUGAUUGGUUUCUAGUUCAUCUUUGAAUUAUUACCUAAUUAAUUAAACUAGUUUAGUGAAGCAUCACUGUAAAAUUGAUUGGUUUCUAGUUCAUCUUUGAAUUAUUCAUUCUUCUUUGAUGUUUGGUUGUUGAAAUGAAAACUUUUGGAUUAAAGUUAUUAAGUGAAACAUUCAUGUUAGAAUUUAUAUAGUUAUCUAUAAAUAACUAUGAUUGUUAGGUUUUGAGCAUGGCAUUAGCUCAUAAUUAGUCCCUGAUUACUCCUGUAUAUGAUUGUAUUCAAACCAUAAUUGAGAUCUAAUAUGUAGCAUAGCACACAAAUACACAAUGUUAAUCUGUUUCUAUAUAAAACCCAUAGUAUUACAUUUGUUUGUUGCGGCAGUGAUGUGGUCCGGCGCAGCAGCAAUGUGGUCAGGUAUGGUGGUGAUGCAGUUCGGUAUGACAGCGAUGCAGAAAUUCCAUGUGUAUUUUAUUUGAUACGACAAUUGUGGUUCAAUAUGGUUGCAGUGUCAUCCGCAUCCGCAAUAUUGCGGUCUUAUCAUAGAGAACCAUCUUAAACUAAUACAAACUUAUAUAUUAUACUAAUAAAGUAUAUUAGGAAUAAACUAAUACAAACUUAUAUAUUAUACUAAUAAAGUAUAUUAGGAAUAGUAUAAGGUCAUCAUUUUUUAUAUAUUUUGAUAUCUCCCAAUCUUUAUUCGAUGGAGUAACUUAUAUCAGCAGGUGCAGCAUAAACACAAAUUAAUCACCUGGCCCAUAUUCUUUGUUUGAAACUUCUCUCCAUUUAUAAACACAAUCACUAAUGAUAUGCGUUAUGAUGUUUGCUUUGUAUUUGUUUAAUUGAAGAUUUAUGAUUUUUUUUCUUCCAAAAAUACGUAUAAAAAUCAUGAUUGAUUGUAGUUUUGGACGUGAAUAAAGUCUAAGCAAGGUUCACAUGAUGUUACUUUACUGAAUUUUGGAAUAUUGAUUGUAAUUUUGGACUCAUUAAAAUAUGUUUUUAAUUUAUCUAUGUGGUAUCUUUUGUGUCUUUCAUCUUCAUUAAGGGUAUGCAUUUGAAGAAACGUAGUGACACUCUUUAGAAUGAUAGUGGUAGGUAGUGCUACUUACCAUUAAGGGCUACUUACUCAUUAAGGGUAUGCAUGAAACAGAAGAAAACAAACUUUUUCAAAUCGUGUCGCUACUUACCACGUCCAUGAAUUUGGGAAUUUGGAAAUUGUAUUAUUGCGCAGAUUAAUUCAUAUUAUAUAUAGGUUAGAGUGAGAUAUUUAAUCAAAUCAUAGCAGUUACAUAUUUUGAGAUAUUUAAUAUUUGUAUUAGUUAUUAAAAUAUUAUUUCCAUUUUAAAGGAAUUAUAUAUAUCAAUGAAGAUUUAUAUA